CCCAAGUAGCUAGGAUUACAGGCGUGCACCACCAUGCCUGCCUAAUUUUUUUGUAUUUUUAGUACAGACAGGAUUUCACCAGGCUGGUCUCGAACUCCUGACCUCAAGUGAUCUGCCCACUUUGGCCUCUUAAAGUUCUGGGAUUACAGAUGUGAGCCACUGUGACUGGCCUUAACAAGUACUCUUGAACACAGAUGUCUAGUAACUUUAAGAUCAAUGGACUAAACAAAAAAUUCCAGAACUCUAAUGAGAGCAUUUACGAAGAUUGCCAAACAACAAUCAGAACAAGAAUUACAUGGGACUGAACUGAUGGAGAACUAAAACGAUUUUCAUGGGGCUGAACUGAUGGAAGGUUACAGUGAUUUUUAUGACUUCUGUUUGAAACAUUGCUGAUUCUAUUUAUAUUUUGUUUUCCAAAGUGAAGAAUGCUUCUUUUCUUUUGAGCUAUUUUUAUCUUACAACAAUUGGAUAAAGUUUACUUUUGUGAACAAAAUUAAAACAUUUACCUUUCUCUCUACCUAAAUUCUUCAAAAUUGGACAACUAUUCUUCAAUGGCUAAAGCCACAGUACUGGUCGCCCACUGACAAGAGAUGAAUCAUUAUUCAGGAGAAUGGCAUGCAGCCUUGUGUUGUGACCUACCCCAUGCUGCUAGCAAUCUGGCCUGCCUGCAAUAAGAAGAUUCUUUUCCCCUGCCAAGAGAGCUGCCUGGCAGUACCGCAAACCCAGUUGUGGAAAGUCCCACCACAAGGACCUUGACAGAGGUGGAGGCCCUCCCCAUGCAGAAGCCAGAGAACUGCGCCCAUUCUCCCGGUAUCCUUCCGUGGGGCCUCAACACAGGCGUGUACUGCUCAGUGCGCAUGUGCAGUCAGGUCUGGUCGGGGCUGGUAGCGGGGCACGGGGAGGUGGGAGCUGACUCUUGCCCAGCCCUGGCCCACGGCAAGGUGUCAGGUACAC
rnacentral:lncRNA from 10 species